GAAUGCUGCUGGUGGAGUCAGCAGGAAAAGCCUUUCUGCCCCUGAUCAACCUCUACCUGAGGACCUAAGGCAAUGCUUUUAUUGUAGAUCCUGAUAUGCAAACAGAACUACAGCACUCCAGAAGUAACCUCAUUUGACUGGCCUAUUAGUUAAUGGCUCUCUACGUUUAUCACUGAAAAAUAAGACAGAUCUGCUAAGACGACUGA
ensembl:lncRNA novel transcript